GGCGCACGGGUGAGUAACGCGUAGGCAACCUACCCUUGUGUUUGGGAUAACAGUGCGAAAGCGCUGCUAAUACCGGAUACGUUCUCCUGUCGGGAGAUGGGGGAAGAAAGACGGCCUCUCGAAGAAGCUGUUGCACGGGGAUGGGCCUGCGUCCUAUCAGCUAGUUGGUGAGGUAAGGGCUCACCAAGGCGACGACGGGUAGCUGGUCUGAGAGGAUGAUCAGCCACACUGGCACUGGAACACGGGCCAGACUCCUACGGGAGGCAGCAGUGAGGAAUUUUGCGCAAUGGCCGCAAGGCUGACGCAGCAACGCCGCGUGGGUGAAGAAGGCCUUCGGGUCGUAAAGCCCUGUCAGGUGGGAAGAAAGGGUCCAUCAAGAAACGGGUGGAAUUUGACGGUACCACCAGAGGAAGCACCGGCUAACUCCGUGCCAGCAGCCGCGGUAAUACGGAGGGUGCGAGCGUUAUUCGGAAUUACUGGGCGUAAAGCGCGUGCAGGCGGGGACGCAAGUCUGAUGUGAAAGCCCUGGGCUUAACCUGGGAAGUGCAUUGGAAACUGC
rnacentral:rRNA from 1 species